CAAUAGCGCAUAUUAAAGUUGUUGCAGUUAAAAAGCUCGUAGUUGGAUUUCUGGUGGGAGCGAUCGGUCUGGCGCUUAGCGCGAGUACUUGCAUCGUCUCCGGCCAUCCUUGGGGAAAGUCUGUCUGGCAUUAAGUUGUCGGGCAGAGGAUCCUCAUCGUUUACUGUGAAAAAAUUAGAGUGUUCAAAGCAGGCUUAUGCCGUUGAAUAUAUUAGCAUGGAAUAAUAAGAUAGGACUUUGGUACUAUUUUGUUGGUUUGCGCACCAAAGUAAUGAUUAAUAGGGACAGUUGGGGGUAUUCGUAUUCCGUUGUCAGAGGUGAAAUUCUUGGAUUUACGGAAGACGAACUACUGCGAAAGCAUUUACCAAGGAUGUUUUCAUUAA
rnacentral:rRNA from 1 species